AUUGAACGCUGGCGGCAGGCCUAACACAUGCAAGUCGAGCGGAUGAAGGGAGAUGGCUCUUGGAUUCGGCGGCGGACGGGUGGGUAAUGCAUAGGUUUCUGCCUGGUAGCGGGGGAUAACGUCGGCUAAUGGCGGCUAAUCCCUCAUAGGUCAAGAGGGAGAACGGGGGGGUCCUUCGGACCUUGCGCUAUCAGAUGGGCCUAGGUCGGAUUAGCUAGUUGGGGGGGUAAAGGCCUACCAAGGCGACUAUCCGUAACUGGUCUGAUAGGAUGCUCAGGCACACUGGAACUGAGACACGGUCCAGACUCCUACGGGAGGCAGCAGUGGGGAAUAUUGGACGAUGGGCGAAAGCCUGAUCCAGCCAUGCCGCGUGUGUGAAGAAGGUCUUCUGAUUGUAAAGCACUUUAAGUUGGGAGGAAGGGCAGUAAGUUAAUACCUUGCUGUUUUGACGUUACCAACAGAAUAAGCACCGGCUAACUUCGUG
rnacentral:rRNA from 1 species